rnacentral:lncRNA from 1 species
CUUUAUCCUAAACGCCCCCACUGACUCGGCUCAGCCCACAGGAUGGAUCACGCCUGAAACAGAUGUCCUGGCUUCCCCGGGCCAAGGAAUCUCAGCCCCUCCCAGUAGAUGAGACACUUCAUCCCUUGGACACCAGAAGCAUCUUCCGGAUUUCAUCAGGCAAGUAUGCUUCCAGCCUGGAUUUCUCACACAGCAGAGGAAGGGUUUCAAGAAGGAGAGCAAAUGGUGCAUAUUGUCACUUCUUCUGCAUUCCGUUGGCCAAUGCAAGUCACAAGUGGGAAAAGAGGUGCCAUCUCUGGAUGGAUGAAGCAGCAAAGUCGCAUUGCGAAGGACCAAAAGAGAUGGAGGAAGUCAACAACUGAGGGUGAGGAGAGCUCUCUGCUGACAAGGCCACGUAUCCAGGUCCUUCCUGCUCCAUGGCAAGCACAGGCUGGAUGGAAGGCUUCCGUGGAUGCUUUGGGAGCGAAGUUGCCUGGAGAACCCACAAACUCAGGAGCUAGCAACAAAUUCCAGGACUUUCUAUAACCCAUUAAACACACUUGAAAGUGAUUAUCCUGAGCAGUAAUUGAGA